rnacentral:rRNA from 1 species
UACAGAGGUCUCAAGCGUUGUUCGGAUUCAUUGGGCGUAAAGGGCGCGUAGGCGGCGCGGUAAGUCACUUGUGAAAUCUCUGAGCUUAACUCAGAACGGCCAAGUGAUACUGCAGUGCUAGAGUGUGGAAGGGGCAAUCGGAAUUCUUGGUGUAGCGGUGAAAUGCGUAGAUAUCAAGAGGAACACCUGAGGUGAAGACGGGUUGCUGGGCCAACACUGACGCUGAUGCGCGAAAGCCAGGGGAGCAAACGGG